CCUACGGGAGGCAGCAGUGGGGAAUCUUGUGCAAUGGACGAAAGUCUGACACAGCCACGCCGCGUGCGGGAAGAAGGCCUUCGGGUUGUAAACCGCUUUCAGCAGGAACGAAAAUGACGGUACCUGCAGAAGAAGAUGCGGCCAACUACGUGCCAGCAGCCGCGGUGAUACGUAGGCAUCAAGCGUUGUCCGGAUUUAUUGGGCGUAAAGAGCUCGUAGGCGGUUCAGCAAGUCGGGUGUGAAAACUCUGGGCUUAACCCAGAGCCUGCACUCGAAACUGCUGUGACUAGAGUUCGGUAGGGGAGCAGGGAAUUCCUAGUGUAGCGGUGAAAUGCGCAGAUAUUAGGAGGAACACCAAUGGCGAAGGCACUGCUCUGGGCCGAUACUGACGCUGAGGAGCGAGAGCGUGGGUAGCAAACAGGAUUAGAUACCCUGGUAGUCCACGCCGUAAACGAUGGGCACUAGGUGUGGGUCUCUAACCAACGAGAUCUGCGCCGUCGCUAACGCAUUAAGUGCCCCGCCUGGGGAGUACGGUCGCAAGACAAACUCAAAGGAAUUGACGG
rnacentral:rRNA from 1 species